rfam:Erinaceus europaeus unplaced genomic scaffold scaffold00359, whole genome shotgun sequence
AAAAUGGACUUUCUUAAGUCCAUUGAAUACAGAAAUAUUGAUAAAU